rnacentral:rRNA from 1 species
AGCAGCCGCGGUAAUUCCAGCUCCAAUAGCGUAUAUUAAAGUUGUUGCAGUUAAAAAGCUCGUAGUUGAAUUUCGGGAUCAAUGCGUCGGUCGUGCCUUCGGUACGUACUAGCGUCAUUGAUUCCUCCCUUCUGAAGAACCGUGAUGUCAUUAAUUUGGUGUUACGGGGAAUCAGGACUGUUACCUUGAAAAAAUUAGAGUGUUUAAAGCAGGCUAACGCUUGAAUACAUUAGCAUGGAAUAAUGAAAUAGGACGUUCGAACCUAUUUUGUUGGUUUCUAGGAUCAACGUAAUGAUUAAUAGGGAUAGUUGGGGGCAUUAGUAUUCAAUUGUCAGAGGUGAAAUUCUUGGAUUUAUUGAAGACUAACUACUGCGAAAGCAUUUGCCAAGGAUGUUUUCAUUAAUCAAGAACGAAAGUUAGGGGAUCGAAGACGAUCAGAUACCGUCGUAGUCUUAACCAUAAACUAUGCCGACUAGGGAUCGGAUGAUGUUAAUUUUUUAAUGACUCAUUCGGCGCCUUACG